CCAAUGCUAUCAAGGAAGGGGACUUUGUCAACACCUUUCGGACCAGUAAAUCAGGCACAUAAGCAGCUGUCCGACGAGGGAACCAAUCCUAUCAAGGAAGGGGACUUUGUCAACACCUUUGAAUGCGUCAGCCACGACCUCAAGAUCAGGCUGGUGAGUUUUUCUAUUCAGCUCAAAGAAGCGCUGUAGCUCAAGAGAGGCAAUUGGUAGCAAAUCAGUCUGGUCAGAAUUCACCGGAGAGUCCUUAGAGCAGCUGAAAGAUUAGUGAGACUGUCUGAUGCUGAACAUGUACCAUCUGUUCCAUGCGAGAGAAAUAGCAUGUCGAUAUCAUCUUGAAAUAAUCACAGCUGGGGGGACGAGGUUGGUAGCUGAGGGUGAUGUGCAGAGCGGGAGGAAGGAGGUGUGAGGCUUGGAACUCUCCUUGUGAAGUGCUCAGGGACAGCGGUGAGGAGCAUGGCAGGUGUCCAACUUGACCUCCUCGGCCACAGCAACAACAAGGGUGGCCGUGGCAACAAGGGAGGAGACAACAACCAGCAGAGCAAUGAGAUCGCUAAGUCUCUGAUCCCGCCACUUCCUGCUCGAUUCGCUUGGCUCCUGCGCUGAUUUCUCUUUGUUUUCCCAGGUUUGUUGUGGUUGCAGAAUGGCGCAGAGCAACUGGGAAGCGGACUACGUCUACGGACAUGAUGCGUGAUGUACACAUCCAUCACUACUAUUUGCUCAAGUGGAUCAUCCAAACUGCCAACCUGUUCAUGGUGGAGGGGGCGAUGCCUGCUAAGUCCUCCAAUUCAUGCUCAGGUGCAACCUGGAAUGAUUGGGUUUAUGACAUUGGGUGCCAGUAUAAUUCUCAUGCUGACGACAAUUAUUGUUUUGACGAGGAUUCAGUGGUUGUCUGUGGCAUGUGUUCAACUAGGAACUCAUCAUUAUUGGAGUCUUUCAUCUGUAUAUACCAAAGCAAGGCGGGAGAAGAAGCAGAUUGAUUGAUGAAGGAAACACAUGAAAAAGAGGAAAAGAGCAGCUAAAUGAUUGAUGGGGCCUGUGACCUAUCCCUGUUGGUUCUCCUUUCCGCAAAUUAAACCAAUAAUCGAUAUUGUCAGUUUGAGAGUAUGCUGGAUGUGAGAGUUAAUGAAGAAGAUCACUCAUGCUGUUGAAAGUACACAAGCAGUCACUGUUAAGGUCUACCGAAAAACAUGUAGAUAUGUUUGGGAGCCUUUGUUGUAGCCAACAAAUUGUUCCUCAGAAAUUUAUAUUUAGUUCUGGUGAUUAAAUAUAAAGCAAUGCCUCUUGAAGUAGUUCCUCAGAAUCUUCUACAGGACAUAUGUUUUUGACAAAGUCUACAUGACAUAUGACUAAGACAAGACUCAUGCCAUAAGGUUCUCCAAAAUCCUUUGUUCAAGCAGAAAAACCUUUUUACACAACAACCUCAUUUUUCUCCAGUUUGGGGAUGACAACAGUUCUACUCACAAUGGUGCUGCAUGCUGGAAGUACUCAUUAUCCUGUUGGCUCUACUCUGGGUUCCAUAUUAUGGAGAAGGUGUUCUGGAUGGUCCUAACAAGCUCAUAAACAUGGAUGUGUCUUGCUACCCUCCAGGUGAUGUUCCUAAGACGGGAACCAAAUGAAGAAUCGGUGAAGGGUACAACCAAUAAAGAUGAUGCCGGGAACUUGACGACCUCUGAUAGCAAUGUUAUCGGUGCUCCACCUCCGGAGAAAGCAUGUGGAAGAUCAUUUCCUUUGUUCUCUGAAUUACAUGCACUUUGCUGAACAAAAAGUAUGAUUGGUGUUCCUGGUGAAAAUGAGUGAAGCUAGAAGAUGCUAUGAGAAGGAACUUGCCAAGACUAUUUGAAGAACAGCCUGAUCUCCUGCAUGAGGGGCUCUUUUGUGUGUGCAGGACAAUCCCAACGAUUGUCCAUUCAUUUCAUCCGUCGUGUACAUCUUGGAGAACGGAAGUGCCAAACUUCAUGUCCCGAACCAACCGGUAUAUUCUGCACCUACGAAUAGCAAAGUAGAGCAUGCAACAUGCAAUACUCAAAAUUCGAAGAAUAUGCCAACUUACAGUUCUAGAGAGAAGAUUGGCCAGUUAUCACAUUACAAGAUAUUUUGUAAAGGGGGGCUCAGAUCAGAUAGUUGCACAUCACUUGUUGGAUGCCUCGCAUGCCCUCAUCAGCAGCACGGUCCCGUUGCGACAACUUCGCUGAAGAUCUCCUGUGGUGGUUGCUUUGUUACUAAGACUAUAUUAGCUCCGCUUUGUGAUACUGUGUGAGAUCGUUCAAACCCUGCGUUUGUAAUAGGGCUAGUCUUACUUUGGUGCUGCUUAGGUUUUCGCCCCAUAACACUCGUUUCGAUGGUGGGCGAGUGUGGUGGGUUUCCUAGCAGUGCGUUGAGCUCGCUCUCCCCUUUUCCCUGUUCUUGGACUUUCCGUCGAACUUUGUAUUUCCGUUCGAAGUAACGGAAAGGGGUUUGCCCGGUUCAAAAAAAAAGUUGAAAAUUACCGUGCACCUAAAAUGAGUUAGCUAACUAACUUUUUACUGCCAGGCAUGUGUGCAUGUGCCUGCGUGUC